AUAAAAUUGAAAUUACAUCACACACUCUGUCUAACUUCUAUAAUACCGGGUGAUGAUUCUGCUGCUUUGUGUCAUUGUAAACAAACAGUGAUUUAACUCAUAUUCUAGUGUGUAGGUAUUGGUGUCAGGUUUCUAUAAGAAAAGUUACAUUUUCCGUUAUUUUAAUUGUUUUGAUCAAUAAAUCUGGAAAAUAUCGAAGAGAAAAGUGCUCACGGAGAGAAAAGAAAGAUAAAUCGAUGCAUUUCACCAAGAAAAUGUUGGUAUCAUAGAAAUUUCUCGUCGGAUUGGACAAUCCCAUCAAGUAGGGCUGAAUUAUUUGGCGAAUCCUCAAGGACACGUAAAUCGAAGCUCUCUGACCGGGAUAAGCGGGAAAAAGCUAGAACAGCAGAAUACCUCAAAAUCAUUUAUACAGAUAAAACAAUAUUUCAAUUUAAAUGUUACUCGGGUGACAAUUCGUCAAGUUUUGGUAAAAAGUCCUUACAUGAAGAGGGCUUAAAAGGUUACAGCUCCUCAUCUUGCACCAUCCCACAUCGGAAGACGUCUGAGUUUUGCUAAAGCUCACAUGAACCGACAGUGGGGCAUGGUUAUCUUCACUGACGAAAAAAAGUUCAAUUAGGAUGGUUCUGACGGUUUCAACGGGUACUGGCGUGAUUUACGGAAGAAGGAACAGUAUUUUUCAACCAGGAAUUUUGGUGGAGGCUCGUGCAUGGUUAGGGCGGGAUUCUGUGCAACCGGAAAGCUCAAAAUAGCUUUCACAUCAUUCAAGGAUUACAUACAUGUUCUGGAAUCCUCUCUCCUACCGUUUUUGCGUGGAUAUCGUCACAAAAAAAUCACAUUCCAGCAAAACAAUGCUACUAUUCAUAUCAGCAAGGAAACUAAGCAAUGAAUUAAGGACCAAAAACUUAAUUUUUGGGACUGGUCGGCUCGCUCUCCAGAUUUAAAUCUUGCUGAAAAUCUUAGGGAGAUUCUUGAACAAGUAUUCCAAAACGAAUUUUACAGGUUACUAGCCAAAAUGGCAAGGUUGCCAAUUGUUGACAUGUAAAUCAGCCGAUCGUUUUGAAUUUUUCAUUCAUAAUUCUUAUGAAUUUUGAAAUGGUCUUAUAGAAACUGGACAGCUGAAAUUAUCAUAUUUAAGCACAAUAAAUAAACAAACAACGAAAUUGACGUUAAAUAUACUUUAUUCUAAGCAUUCAACCAUGUAUGAAUGUAUCUUGUUGAAAUUCUAACCGUUUAUGUUGCAACGAAAUAGAAUCAGGGUGGUCUUAUAGA